CCUAGUAUAUAUCUAAGGUGUAACCUGCCCAAUGGCUUUUAAUAAUUUUAACUAAAAUUUAAAAAAUAAAGUUUAAAGGACGCGGUAACCUUGACCGUGAUAAUGUAGCAUAAUCAUUCGCCAUUUAAUUGAUGGAUAGUAUGAAUGGUUGAACGAAUAUUUCACUGUCUUAAAAAGAAAUACCAAAAAAUUAGAAUAAUAGUAAAGAUACUAUUUAAAAUUGUAAGACGAAAAGACCCUAUAGAGCUUAACUAUAAUUUCUACUUAAAACAAUAAAAAACUUAGAAACAGAAGAAAUUGGUAGUUUAGUUGGGGCGACUGUCUUUUAAAAUAAACAAAGACAAGCAAAGUAAAUAAAAAAACUUAUUGUAUAAUUAAUAAAUUUAACAAUUAUAAAAAUAGGCUAUAAUGACCCGUUAUAAACUAGUAAAAGUAAUAACGAUCAAUAAAUAAAAGCUACCUUAGGGAUAACAGGAUAAUUUUAUUUUAGAGACCUAAUCGAAAAUAAAGUUUGUCACCUCUAUGUUGAAUUAAGAUAUCCAGAUAAUGCAGAAGUUAUCAAGGGUAGGUCUGUUCGACCUUUAAAAU
rnacentral:rRNA from 1 species